rnacentral:tRNA from 3 species
GCCGGGUUGGCGGAAUGGUAGACGCGGCGCACUCAAAAUGCGCUGUCCGCGAGGGCGUGCGGGUUCGAGUCCCGCACCCGGCA